rnacentral:rRNA from 1 species
GCCAGCAGCCAUAUCACCCUGCACCUCACAACUGGCAACGCACUGAAGGUCAGCAAGUGUGAGCCUGGUCAGUACCUGGACGGGUGACCUCCUAGAAAAAGCUAAGGUUGCUGCUGGAA